rnacentral:rRNA from 1 species
UAAGGAAUAUUGGUCAAUGGACGCAAGUCUGAACCAGCCAUGCCGCGUGAAGGAUGAAGGUCCUCUGGAUUGUAAGCUUCUUUUAUCUGGGACGAAAACGGGAUUUUUAUCUCAAUUGACGGUACCAGAGGAAUAAGCACCGGCUAACUCCGUGCCAGCAGCCGCGGUAAUACGGAGGGUGCGAGCGUUAUCCGGAUUUACUGGGUUUAAAGGGUGCGUAGGUGGGCUUAUAAGUCAGUGGUGAAAUCUCCGAGCUUAACUUGGAAACUGCCGUUGAUACUAUAGGUCUUGAAUUAUCUGGAGGUAAGCGGAAUAUGUCAUGUAGCGGUGAAAUGCUUAGAUAUGACAUAGAACACCAAUUGCGAAGGCAGCUUACUACAUAUAAAUUGACGCUGAGGCACGAAAGCGUGGGGAGCAAAC